CCUACGGGAGGCAGCAGUGAGGAAUAUUGGUCAAUGGGCGGGGGCCUGAACCAGCCAAGUAGCGUGCAGGAUGACGGCCCUAUGGGUUGUAAACUGCUUUUGUAUGGGGAUAAAUUGCUCCACGAGUGGAGUAUUGCAGGUACCAUACGAAUAAGGACCGGCUAAUUCCGUGCCAGCAGCCGCGGUAAUA
rnacentral:rRNA from 1 species